rnacentral:piRNA from 1 species
UGCCUAUUUCUAGCAAUCACUUCUGGUUGAA